rnacentral:rRNA from 1 species
GAUGAACGCUGGCGGCGUGCCUAAUACAUGCAAGUCGAGCGAAUGGAUUAAGAGCUUGCUCUUAUGAAGUUAGCGGCGGACGGGUGAGUAACACGUGGGUAACCUGCCCAUAAGACUGGGAUAACUCCGGGAAACCGGGGCUAAUACCGGAUAACAUUUUGAACCGCAUGGUUCGAAAUUGAAAGGCGGCUUCGGCUGUCACUUAUGGAUGGACCCGCGUCGCAUUAGCUAGUUGGUGAGGUAACGGCUCACCAAGGCAACGAUGCGUAGCCGACCGGAGAGGGUGGUCGGCCACACUGGGACUGGGAAACGGCCCAGACUCCUACGGGAGGAAGCAGUAGGGAAUCUUCCGCAAUGGACGAAAGUCUGACGGAGCAACGCCGCGUGAGUGAUGAAGGCUUUCGGGUCGUAAAACUCUGUUGUUAGGGAAGAACAAGUGCUAGUUGAAUAAGCUGGCACCUUGACGGUACCUAACCAGAAAGCCACGGCUAACUACGUGCCAGCCGCCGCCGUAA